rnacentral:piRNA from 1 species
CAGUUUCUUAAAUAGUCUCUCUUCAG